rnacentral:rRNA from 1 species
CAGUCGCCGCGGUAAUACGGAGGGGGCUAGCGUUGUUCGGAAUUACUGGGCGUAAAGCGUGCGUAGGCGGUGAGUUAAGUCUGCUGUGAAAUCCCCGGGCUCAACCUGGGAAUGGCAGUGGAUACUGGCUCGCUAGAGUGUGUCAGAGGAUGGUGGAAUUCCCGGUGUAGCGGUGAAAUGCGUAGAGAUCGGGAGGAACAUCAAUGGCGAAGGCGGCCAUCUGGGACAACACUGACGCUGAGGCACGAAAGCGUGGGGAGCAAACAGGAUUAGAUACCCCCGUAGUCCCUGUCUCUUAUAC